rnacentral:lncRNA from 1 species
UCCGAGUGCCACGCGGCGGCCAAACGCCGUAUCCCCAAAUUUCUUUCUAUGGGCACGAUGCCAGAAAAUUUUUGCCACUUCUUCACCGCCUUUCACCACCCUUUUCCUCUUUUAUGCUCCCGAAGUAGACCCUUUUCCCCUUUUAUGCUCCCGAAGCAGCGGGAUGGUAAAUAGGCUUCGACUUGUCGCUGGCGAAGGGUAUAGAUCAGGCUCGGGUCGUCGACGAUGGACACAGCGGCGGCAACGGCUUGGACGGCUUGGGCGGUGGACACAGCAGCAACGGCGGCUUCAGCGAUGAUGACGGCAGACGUGAUGGCGGUGGCGGCGGCAGACGCAGAGGACAGAGCGAGCAUGGUGGCGGCCGCAGUCGUGGUGGGUGUGGUGGUGGUCGCGGAUGCGAUGGACGCGGUGGUGACGACUUCCUGUCAACUGUAAAUAUAUAUGUAUAUUUUUUUUAAUUUGUAUUUUUUUUUUUAAUCCUUCUCUUCUUCUCCACUCUCUUUCUUUUUUUUUUCUCUCUCUCUUUUUUUUUAACUUCUUCCUUAAUGUUCACAGUACGCUCUUUUCUUCUUUUUUUUUUUUCUUUUUUUUAGUUUUUUUUAAGUAUGGAUGAAGCCUCCUCUUGUGCCGUACGCGGAUCCUCCGUGCGAUUCCCCCCUGCUCGAGCUUCUUUCUCAAGUUAUUUAUAAAGCUCAAGUAUAAAUUUUCAAAAUUUUCUCAUAUCUUAAAGAGAUUUUUAAGAUAUUGAGAAAUAUGUGAUCCCGGAUAUUUCGGGAUCCUGUUGACUGGGUAGAGAUGGGGGUGGAGAAGAGAGAGAUAGAGAGAAGCGGCAGAGGGGGGAGAAGAGAGAGAUAGGGAGACCUAUGGAGGAGAGAUAAAGGGGCACUGUUACCUAGAAAGAGAGAUGAAGGAGAAGAGAGAGAUAGGGAGAUUUAGGGCACAGGACCUUAAAAAAAAAAAUGCAUAACAUGGAAGCACAAAAAUGUGCCACGUAUACCUUUAGAGACUGUCAAAUUAUGUAUUUGUUAAGGAUAUUCUUGUUUAUUAUUUUUCUUUUUCUUUGUUAUCUCUUUGGUCAAUCCACGUGUCAUGGUUCACUUAUAUCCACCAUGUAUAGAAGUGGAGUAUUGACAAACUAUGGGCCACAUCUAUUAAGAUUACAUAUAUUCUAGUCUAUUUCUCUGUUUAUUUAUUUUUUUUCCAUUUUCUCUUCAAUCAAUCUAUGUGGCACCAUUCAUCUGAUAUCUAUCAUGCAUUUGAACAGAAAUAUUAAGAUAAAUUUUGAAUCAUAUUCUAAUAGAUCAAGCUUUUGGAUAUCCUAGAUUUUUUUUCCUUUUUUUUCACUCGAUAGUAAGCCCCUUAUCCUAAGAAACUCUCCUAAAAGAUAGUAUAUACGUAACUCAAGUAGCUCAAACUUUCAACUUCUUUGGAAGUCCUUCUAAGAUAACAACCAACUGCACUAGAUAAUAAUUAUCAAUCUGCUACACUAUUUAAUGAUUGUUAGUAUGUUAAAAUUUCUUAUUUUAUAAUAAUAUUGUUCGAGCAAAACAAAUGGCUAUUUAUAAUUCUAAUAAUCAUCUAUAUUC